rnacentral:tRNA from 1 species
GGAUUGUGGCUCAGUGGUAGAGCACUUGCCUAGCACGUGCAAGAUGCUGGGUUCAAUCCUUAGCACCA